UACGUAGGUGGCAAGCGUUGUCCGGAUUUACUGGGCGUAAAGGGCGUGCAGGCGGUCUGUUAAGUUCAGGGUGAGAGCUCCCGGCUCAACUGGGAGAGGUCCUUGGAUACUGGCAGACUUGAGGAGGGUAGAGGAGAGUGGAAUUCCCGGUGUAGUGGUGAUAUGCGUAGAUAUCGGGAGGAACACCAGUGGCGAAGGCGGCUCUCUGGGCCCUACCUGACGCUGAGACGCGAAAGCGUGGGGAGCGAACCGG
rnacentral:rRNA from 1 species